rnacentral:rRNA from 2 species
AGAGUUUGAUCCUGGCUCAGAACGAACGCUGGCGGCGUGCCUAACACAUGCAAGUCGAACGGAGUUGAGGGGCUUGCUCCUCAAUUUAGUGGCGCAUGGGUGAGUAACGCGUAGAUAAUCUGCCUGAUGAUUUGGGAUAACACUUCGAAAGGGGUGCUAAUACCGAAUAAGCCCACGGAGUCCUUGGACUCUGCGGGAAAAGGGGGGGACCUUUAUCGGCCUUCCGUCAUCAGAUGAGUCUGCGUACCAUUAGCUAGUUGGUAGGGUAAAGGCCUACCAAGGCGACGAUGGUUAGCUGGUCUGAGAGGAUGAUCAGCCACACUGGAACUGAGACACGGUCCAGACUCCUACGGGAGGCAGCAGUGGGGAAUUUUGCGCAAUGGGGGAAACCCUGACGCAGCAACGCCGCGUGAGUGAUGAAGGCUUUCGGGUCGUAAAGCUCUGUCAGAGGGGAAGAAAUGAAACGUGCUAAUAUCACGUUUUCUUGACGGUACCCUCAAAGGAAGCACCGGCUAACUCCGUGCCAGCAGCCGCGGUAAUAC